rnacentral:lncRNA from 1 species
UUUCUUUUUAAAAGAAUUAAUUCUAACUUGACAAAUUAGAAGAACUCAAGCCAACAUCUUUAUAAAUAGAAUUAACUUGAUUAUUUCUUAUAGAGCUCUCUUCAUCACAACCCUUAAUAUUAAUCGAUAAAUCCAUACAAAAUCUUGUCCCUUGUAUAAGUUAUUCAAAAUUUAACAUUAGCAAGAUGUCUUAAUUUAAUUUAAAAAUCCGAACUUUGACUUGAAUAAUUAAUAUACUUCACCAUUUUCAAUAAUC